UCAGAGACUCUGAUUCAGACCGGAAUUUGGUAUGUCCUGACUUCAUCAUCCCAAAACGCUUUGUCGUUUUAUUUCUUCUAUAUCACUCUCUCUCUUUGCUGACAGAAAAGAGAAAUUCUCUUUUAAUAAUUCCCGGAGGUAGCGGUUGAAGACGGUGGUGGGUUCAGAUUGAAAUGUUGGGUGAAGCAAAACUGGGGAGUGAGGACUUGAACCAGUGCUUUGAGAGGCUCCUGAUGGUUGGUGGUGGGAAUAGUGGGAUUGCUGGUGGCAUUAGUCAGGGAGGAAAGAAAAUGGAGGGAGUGGUCGUCACUGAGUGGAAAGAUAUUCCUAUGGAGCUCUUGCUGCGGAUUGUUUCUCUUGUUGAUGAUCGGACCGUAAUUGUAGCUUCUGGGGUUUGUAGUGGGUGGAGGGAUGCUAUCUGCUUGGGCCUCACCCAUCUCUGUCUCUCUUGGUGCAAAAACAACAUGAACAACUUGCUUCUGUCUCUGGCUCCUAAAUUCACAAAACUGGAAACUCUGGUACUGCGACAAGAUAAACCACAACUUGAGGAUAAUGCUGUUGAGGCUAUUGCAAGCUACUGUCAUAAUCUGCAAGACCUAGACCUCAGCAAAAGCUUUAAGCUUAGUGAUUGUUCCCUGUAUGCAUUAGCUCAUGGUUAUCCCAACCUUACCAAACUCAACAUUAGUGGGUGUACAGCAUUUACAGAUAGUGCUCUUGAAUAUCUGACUGGGUUUUGCCGAAAAUUAAAAAUUUUGAAUCUUUGUGGAUGUGUAAAGACUGCAACUGACCGUGCUUUGCAGGCUAUUGGACAGAACUGCAGUCAGUUGCAAUCUCUAAAUCUGGGAUGGUGUGAGAAUGUGGGUGA
rnacentral:misc_RNA from 1 species